rnacentral:rRNA from 1 species
CAGUCGCCGCGGGAAUACGAAGGGGGCUAGCGUUGCUCGGAAUGACUGGGCGUAAAGGGCGCGUAGGCGGAUGGCACAGUCAGAUGUGAAAUUCCCGGGCUUAACCUGGGGGCUGCAUUUGAUACGUGUUGUCUAGAGUGAGGAAGAGGGUUGUGGAAUUCCCAGUGUAGAGGUGAAAUUCGUAGAUAUUGGGAAGAACACCGGUGGCGAAGGCGGCGACCUGGUCUUUUACUGACGCUGAGGCGCGAAAGCGUGGGGAGCGAACAGGAUUAGAUACCCGCGUAGUCCCUGUCUCUUAUAA